GGCGGCGUGCCUAAUACAUGCAAGUCGAGCGAACGGACGAGAAGCUUGCUUCUCUGAUGUUAGCGGCGGACGGGUGAGUAACACGUGGAUAACCUACCUAUAAGACUGGGAUAACUUCGGGAAACCGGAGCUAAUACCGGAUAAUAUUUUGAACCGCAUGGUUCAAAAGUGAAGGACGGUCUUGCUGUCACUUAUAGAUGGAUCCGCGCUGCAUUAGCUAGUUGGUAAGGUAACGGCUUACCAAGGCAACGAUGCAUAGCCGACCUGAGAGGGUGAUCGGCCACACUGGAACUGAGACACGGUCCAGACUCCUACGGGAGGCAGCAGUAGGGAAUCUUCCGCAAUGGGCGAAAGCCUGACGGAGCAACGCCGCGUGAGUGAUGAAGGUCUUCGGAUCGUAAAACUCUGUUAUUAGGGAAGAACAUAUGUGUAAGUAACUGUGCACAUCUUGACGGUACCUAAUCAGAAAGCCACGGCUAACUACGUGCCAGCAGCCGCGGUAAUACGUAGGUGGCAAGCGUUAUCCGGAAUUAUUGGGCGUAAAGCGCGCGUAGGCGGUUUUUUAAGUCUGAUGUGAAAGCCCACGGCUCAACCGUGGAGGGUCAUUGGAAACUGGAAAACUUGAGUGCAGAAGAGGAAAGUGGAAUUCCAUGUGUAGCGGUGAAAUGCGCAGAGAUAUGGAGGAACACCAGUGGCGAAGGCGACUUUCUGGUCUGUAACUGACG
rnacentral:rRNA from 1 species